AUAUUUGUAAUAUGGUGGUUUCAUGUUGCUCUAAGAAGAAUACAGAAAAUGACACAAACUUCCUCUUACCCACAGAAAAUAAAUGACCUAUUUAAGGUUUAUUGAGACUUUCCUGAGUGACAGACACUAGAGUAGAGGUUCUUUUUUGUGUUUUUGUUUGCUUCAGCCAAGUGCUUUGUAGUAGUUUAGUGAGUGUGAUAAAUAAAUAAAUCAAAUUAAAUGAGAAAAGAGUUGUGCCCAGGUGGGAAGAGAAGCAAUGGCAUUUGACUCUGGUGGAACGGUGAGGUGUAGAGAGAGAAAGUCUGCAAAAGAAGACCAGCCGAUGCUGGAGCUAAAUUAAGACAAGUUGGGCUUUGGGGGCAAAAGGCUUGGUAGUGCAGAGGUAUGCAAAUAAUUGUGAAAUUAUAAGGUAAAAUUUCACAUGUGUUAUAAAGAAAUACUACAGUACCGAGGAAGUUGAAGGAAAAGACAAGUGCUGGAUUUCAUGAAGGAAAUGGCAUUUAGUAUCCAUGUGGGUGAAACAAGACCUGGGACCUGGCUCUACAUCUGAAGUGAACAGAUGCUGAAGAGCUCUCUUAUCCACAGGUAUCGACAUAUUAAAAUGAGCAUUUGCAACAAGUGCAAGUUUGCCACCAUAUUAGAACGGUCAUGAUUCGCAGUCCCAAGUGUUAC
rnacentral:lncRNA from 1 species